AUAAAUGGGACUAGAGAUAUAAAGUA
rnacentral:piRNA from 1 species